rnacentral:rRNA from 1 species
ACAGGUGCUGCAUGGCUGUCGUCAGCUCGUGUCGUGAGAUGUGGGUUAAGUCCCGCAACGAGCGCAACCCUACCUUAGUUGCCAUCAGGUAAUGCUGGGGACUCUAAAGGAACUGCCUACGCAAGUAGUGAGGAAGGCGGGGAUGACGUCAAAUCAGCACGGCCCUUACGUCCAGGGCUACACACGUGCUACAAUGGCCGAUACAGAGGGCAGCUACCUGGUGACAGGAUGCAAAUCUCCAAAGUCGGUCUCAGUUCGGAUCGGAGUCUGCAACCCGACUCCGUGAAGUUGGAUUCGCUAGUAAUCGCGCAUCAGCCAUGGCGCGGUGAAUACGUUCCCGGGCCUU